rnacentral:rRNA from 1 species
AAAGGUCAGCCAUAGAAGGUAACAGCCCUGUACUCGAAACUUCAUCCUCUCCUGAGUGGAUCCUGAGUA